rnacentral:rRNA from 1 species
UACGUAGGGUGCGAGCGUUAAUCGGAAUUACUGGGCGUAAAGCGUGCGCAGGCGGUGAGCUGUGUCCGAUGUGAAAGCCCCGGGCUUAACCUGGGAAUGGCAUUGGAAACUGGCUCGCUGGAGUGUGGCAGAGGGGGGUGGAAUUCCGCGUGUAGCAGUGAAAUGCGUAGAGAUGCGGAGGAACACCGAUGGCGAAGGCAAUCCCCUGGACCUGUACUGACGCUCAUGCACGAAAGCGUGGGAGC